GAUGAACGCUAGUUACAGGCUUAACACAUGCAAGUCGAGGGGCAGCAUGGAAGAAGCUUGCUUCUUCUGAUGGCGACCGGCGCACGGGUGCGUAACGCGUAUCAAACCUGCCUCAUACUCGGGGAUAGCCUUGCGAAAGUAAGAUUAAUACCCGAUGUUGUUAUGUUACCGCAUGGUGAUAUAACCAAAGAUUUAUCGGUAUGAGAUGGUGAUGCGUCCGAUUAGGUAGUAGGCGGGGUAACGGCCCACCUAGCCUUCGAUCGGUAGGGGUUCUGAGAGGAAGGUCCCCCACACUGGAACUGAGACACGGUCCAGACUCCUACGGGAGGCAGCAGUGAGGAAUAUUGGUCAAUGGACGAAAGUCUGAACCAGCCAAGUAGCGUGCAGGAUGACGGCCCUCUGGGUUGUAAACUGCUUUUAGUUGGGAAUAAAAAAGAGGACGUGUCCUC
rnacentral:rRNA from 2 species